UAUUUUUCAAUAUCUGCAACAAAAUAUGAAAUAUCCCAAUUCAAUUAGCAAACCAACAUCAGCACUUAGUGCAUACUUCCAACUUGUAUCUAUAAAAGGCCUCACUGUAUCAUUGCGCAGAAAGAAAAAGAAAAUAUUGAUUUUCUCAUUGUGGAAUUGGGAGCUGGAGCCCACUAAUCAAAUUGUGGCAUGUUGAACCAGCCAAACCUAUACUUCCAAUGACCAAACCCAAGGUCCUGUCUAGACAC
rnacentral:misc_RNA from 1 species